GAGCAAAUGAUAACAAGACAACAGGCAUUGCAAUACUGUCAAAAAACCCUGAACUGAAAGUAAAACAAGUGGAGAAAAUAUGUGGAAGAAUGCAAAGGGGUGGGGGGCAGAGACAGAAGAUGGAAAUCCUUAAUGUAUAUGCAUCCUUAAUGUAUAAGCAGUGUGUAUAGCAGGGGGGAGAUCCUGCAUUAUAGUAGGAGACUUUAAUCGCAUAAUUGAAGUAGGGGACAGGACGGGUGAGGGAGGAACUGGUGAAUUAGACAGCUCUUCUAAGCUGUUGAGAAAGCUUAGGAGGGUUUAACAGACACAUGGACAGGACAGAAAGCUUUUACAAGAACAGACCAGAGUGGAAGGAAACAGUCAAAAAUUGGUUUUGUCUUUGUAGCAGCCUCUAAAAAUGGACCCACCUGAGCAGAAGGGGAAGAACUGCCUGGCAGCGAGACAGUUUGUCCCAGAGGGGAUACUGUAGGCUCUGAGGGCAAGUGAAGCUCUUUGGGAGCAGCCCUGUUGGAAGUGGGAGGGGUGAUGUAACCCCAGACAGUUUUGAAAGAGAGACCUUAGCAAAAGCCCGGGAAGGGCCCUGAGCUGGGAUUGGCUGAGAGGCUCAGAUAAAAAGGGGAGCAAGUUUUCCUGCGGGGGGGACAAGAGAGAGGGGCUGAGGGACAGGCUGGAGACCGGAUUGAGUGUCUCAGUGCAGUGGUCCCUCGGAGAGCCCCUGAGAGAGGCCUGCUGGAGCAGAGGGAGAAGCUGCGGGGGCAGGAGCCGGCGGGGACUGCUGGUGUGGAGAACCCAAGUCGGAGAGAGACCUGACUGCAGCCGGUGAGGCUGGGUGAGCACAGCAGAGCCGGGGUGGGGAUUGCUGGAGUCUGCCCUAGUUUCCCUGAGGGGUGAGGGGCCCCAGGGGCAGGCAAAGCCCAGGGAGGGGCUGCAGUUGCUGGGGCUGUGAGGCUGUGUGAGGCAGUAGGAGGGUUGCUAUAGCCUGCAGCCCAGACACUGCUCACAGCAGAACCAGGGAAGGGGGGCAAAGGCAGGGGAAGGCUGUUUUGCAGGGACUGCAGAGGAGCUGCCGCUUGCUGCCCAGAGACCCCAGGAGCACGGAGACGGACACCAGUGCCUGAGAGCUCCCAAAGACCACGUGGAGGGACACAGACAGUCCCGCUCCCUGGGAUAUCCCGCCAGGGGUCGUGCACACGGGAUCCGCAGUACACUGCAUGCAAGUCAAAAAGAAGAAGACUGGCACAGAUGGAACUGUUCAGAAAGAGGGAGGCAGGAAGAUGGGGUGUGCCAGAUGUAUGCCAACUAUUACCGCUUUAUUGGACGUUACCCAAAUAAGUCGCAUCCUCUUUCUACAUACACAUCUCCCUCCACGAAACAAGAAAAAAUACCAUCUCUCAUGUUUUCUUGAAAAAGUCAGGACAGGAGUAAGAAGAAUGUUGCUGCUCAAAGCUUUUACUUUGGCUAUGGUGUGUUCAUAUGGCUCUGGUCAAGUCCUAAAACAAACUGAACCAUCCAUCACCAAGGCAGAAAGUAGAACUAUACGAAUUAAUUGCUACGUGGAUUCAUCAGUCUUUGGCAGAGCUUUUAUACACUGGUAUCGACAGAGGCCUGGUGCAGCUGCAGAAUAGAUACUGUACUUCUCAUCACAACUCUACCUUGACCAGGACUCUGAUAAGAGAAAGUUCAGUGCAGAAAAGGACUUUGAUCUGUCCCGCUGCGUCCUGACAAUAAACAGCAUAACCUCCAGUGACACUGCUACCUAUUACUGUGCCACUUGGACAGGCACAGCAUAAGAAAACCAUUGACAACAUCUACAAUAAAUCCUCUCUACUUUCUGAAAUACCACAGUCUUUUGAAUGUGUGAGAGAGACCUGCCCAAGUUCUGCCACUCAGCCUGGAACCAGCUGCAGAAACUCUGCUGGUUUCUGGAGUAGAUGACAAAAGACAACCGCUAAUGAAAUAUAUAUUUUUCUGAAAAUUACUUAAACUAUCUUAAGAGGUGACCACCCUGAAAGUGAGUUCAGUGGUCUUAUGAUUAUUCACCUCACUUCUCCCUCUCCCUUUGAAGAUCUCACAUCCACCACUCUAAAACUUAAGUGAAGUAAAACAUCAGCAGUUGUCCAAAGAGGCUGCCAUGGGCCGCUGUGGUAUAUAGGUGGAGAUAGCCAAGGACUGAGACAGUCUCAAACAUCUGUCACAAGAGGAGUAAGGAAAACUGCACGAAUUCAGUGCCACGUUUCCAC